rfam:Firmicutes bacterium ML8_F2 scaffold_24, whole genome shotgun sequence.
UAGACAGACAGCAAGAUUGGCGAUCUUCAGGCUGGUCAGGAACGCACUUUAUCACUCAUGACCGCGGCGUUGGCAGGAGCCAACAUGAUAUACGGUCUUG